GACGAACGCUGGCGGCGUGCUUAACACAUGCAAGUCGAACGGAAAGGCCCUGCUUUUGUGGGGUGCUCGAGUGGCGAACGGGUGAGUAACACGUGAGUAACCUGCCCUUGACUGUGGGAUAACUUCAGGAAACUGGGGCUAAUACCGGAUAGGAGCUCCUGCUGCAUGGUGGGGGUUGGAAAGUUUCGGCGGUUGGGGAUGGACUCGCGGCUUAUCAGCUUGUUGGUGGGGUAGUGGCUUACCAAGGCUUUGACGGGUAGCCGGCCUGAGAGGGUGACCGGCCACAUUGGGACUGAGAGACGGCCCAGACUCAUACGGGAGGCAGCAGGGGGGAAUAUUGCACAAUGGGCGGAAGCCUGAUGCAGCAACGCCGCGUGCGGGAUGACGGCCUUCGGGUUGUAAACCGCUUUCGCCUGUGACGAAGCGUGAGUGACGGUAAUGGGUAAAGAAGCACCGGCUAACUACGU
rnacentral:rRNA from 1 species